UACGAAGGGGGCUAGCGUUGUUCGGAAUUACUGGGCGUAAAGCGAGUGUAGGUGGUUGUCCAAGUUGGAUGUGAAAGCCUUGAGCUCAACUCAAGAAAUGCAUUCAGGACUGGGCGGCUAGAGGACCGGAGAGGAUAGUGGAAUUCCCAGUGUAGUGGUGAAAUACGUAGAGAUUGGGAAGAACACCAGUGGCGAAGGCGGCUAUCUGGACGGUUUCUGACACUAAGACUCGAAAGCGUGGGGAGCAAACAGG
rnacentral:rRNA from 1 species